rnacentral:tRNA from 1 species
UCCCUGAUGGCUCAGACAGUAAAGAAUCUGCCUGCAAUGCAGGAGACUCAGGUUCAAUCCCUGGGUUGGGAA